AGAGUUUGAUUCUGGCUCAGGAUGAACGCUGGCGGCGUGCCUAAUACAUGCAAGUCGAGCGAACCACUUCGGUGGGAAGCGGCGAACGGGUGAGUAACACGUAGGUGAUCUGCCCAUCAGACGGGGACAACGAUUGGAAACGAUCGCUAAUACCGGAUAGGACGAAAGUUUAAAGAUGCUCCUGGCAUCACUGAUGGAUGAGCCUGCGGCGCAUUAGCUAGUUGGUGGGGUAAAGGCCUACCAAGGCGACGAUGCGUAGCCGACCUGAGAGGGUGAACGGCCACACUGGGACUGAGACACGGCCCAGACUCCUACGGGAGGCAGCAGUAGGGAAUCUUCGGCAAUGGGCGAAAGCCUGACCGAGCAACGCCGCGUGAAUGAAGAAGGCCUUCGGGUUGUAAAAUUCUGUUAUAAGGGAAGAAAGGUGAUAGGAGGAAAUGACUAUCAAUUGACGGUACCUUAUGAGAAAGCCACGGCUAACUACGUGCCAGCAGCCGCGGUAAUACGUAGGUGGCAAGCGUUAUCCGGAAUUAUUGGGCGUA
rnacentral:rRNA from 1 species